UACGUAGGGUGCGAGCGUUGUCCGGAAUUAUUGGGCGUAAAGAGCUCGUAGGCGGUCUGUCGCGUCGGUCGUGAAAACUUGGGGCUUAACCCUGAGCUUGCGGUCGAUACGGGCAUGACUGGAGUUCGGUAGGGGAGACUGGAAUUCCUGGUGUAGCGGUGAAAUGCGCAGAUAUCAGGAGGAACACCGGUGGCGAAGGCGGUGCUCUGGGCCGGAACUGACGCUGAGGAGCGAAAGCGUGGGGAGCAAACAGG
rnacentral:rRNA from 1 species